UACGGAGGAUGCGAGCGUUAUCCGGAUUUAUUGGGUUUAAAGGGUGCGUAGGCGGGAUGCCAAGUCAGCGGUAAAAAUGCGGUGCUCAACGCCGUCGAGCCGUUGAAACUGGCGUUCUUGAGUGGGCGAGAAGUAUGCGGAAUGCGUGGUGUAGCGGUGAAAUGCAUUGAUAUCACGCAGAACUCCGAUUGCGAAGGCAGCAUACCGGCGCCCUACUGACGCUGAGGCACGAAAGCGUGGGUAUCGAACAGG
rnacentral:rRNA from 1 species